CUCGUAGGCGGCCAACUAAGUCGGACGUGAAAUCCCUCGGCUUAACCGGGGAACUGCGUCCGAUACUGGAUGGCUUGAGAUUGGGAGAGGGAUGCGGAAUUCCAGGUGUAGCGGUGAAAUGCGUAGAUAUCUGGAGGAACACCGGUGGCGAAGGCGGCAUCCUGGACCAACACUGACGCUGAUGAGCGAAAAGCCAGGGAGCAAACG
rnacentral:rRNA from 1 species